UACGUAGGGCGCAAGCGUUGUCCGGAAUUAUUGGGCGUAAAGAGCUCGUAGGUGGUUUGUUACGUCUGCUGUGAAAACCUAGGGCUUAACCCUGGGCCUGCAGUGGAUACGGGCAGACUAGAGGUAGGUAGGGGAGAAUGGAAUUCCUGGUGUAGCGGUGGAAUGCGCAGAUAUCAGGAGGAACACCAAUGGCGAAGGCAGAUCUCUGGGCCGUAACUGACGCUGAGGAGCGAAAGCAUGGGGAGCGAACAGG
rnacentral:rRNA from 1 species